UGACGGUACCCUACCAGAAAGGGACGGCUAACUACGUGCCAGCAGCCGCGGUAAUACGUAGGUCCCGAGCGUUGUCCGGAUUUAUUGGGCGUAAAGGGAGCGCAGGCGGUUUAGUAAGUCUGAAGUUAAAGGCAUUGGCUCAACCAAUGUAUGCUUUGGAAACUGUUAGACUUGAGUGCAGAAGGGGAGAGUGGAAUUCCAUGUGUAGCGGUGAAAUGCGUAGAUAUAUGGAGGAACACCGGUGGCGAAAGCGGCUCUCUGGUCUGUCACUGACGCUGAGGCUCGAAAGCGUGGGUAGCGAACAGGAUUAGAUACCCUGGUAGUCCACGCCGUAAACGCUGAGUGCUAGGUGUUAGGUCCUUUCCGGGACUUAGUGCCGACGCUAACGCAUUAAGCACUCCGCCUGGGGAGUACGACCGCAAGGUUGAAACUCAAAGGAAUUGACGGGGGCCCGCACAAGCGGUGGAGCAUGUGGUUUA
rnacentral:rRNA from 1 species